rnacentral:rRNA from 1 species
AGCAGCCGCGGUAAUUCCAGCUCCAAUAGCGUAUAUUAAAGUUGCUGCAGUUAAAAAGCUCGUAGUUGAAUUUCGGGACCAUCAUGUCGGUCGUGCCUCGGUACGUACUGGCAUUGUUGGUUUCUCCCUUCUGACGAACCAUGAUGUCAUUAAUUUGGUGUCAUGGGGAAUCAGGACUGUUACUUUGAAAAAAUUAGAGUGUUUAAAGCAGGCUCACGCUUGAAUACAUUGGCAUGGAAUAAUGAAAUAGGACGUUUGAUUCUAUUUCGUUAGUUUCUAGGAUCGACGUAAUGAUUAAUAGGGAUAGUUGGGGGCAUUAGUAUUCAAUUGUCAGAGGUGAAAUUCUUGGAUUUAUUGAAGACUAACUACUGCGAAAGCAUUUGCCAAGGAUGUUUUCAUUAAUCAAGAACGAAAGU